UGCCAGCCGCCGCGGUAAUACGGAGGGUGCAAGCGUUAAUCGGAAUUACUGGGCGUAAAGCGCGCGUAGGCGGUUUAUUAAGUCAGAUGUGAAAGCCCCGGGCUCAACCUGGGAAUUGCAUUUGAGACUGGUAGGCUAGAGUGUGGUAGAGGUGAGUGGAAUUUCAGGUGUAGCGGUGAAAUGCGUAGAGAUCUGAAGGAACAUCAGUGGCGAAGGCGACUCACUGGGCCAUUACUGACGCUGAGGUGCGAAAGCGUGGGUAGCAAACAGGAUUAGAUA
rnacentral:rRNA from 1 species